AGACAGGGGCGGCUAUACUGCCAGAAGGCGUCUCCACUAACCACCGGAUGACCGGUGUCAAUCAGGUUCCCUUUCCGCCCCAUACGCCCACCUUUCCACACACGGCGUCUCCAUUUCCGCAAUCUCGGGUCCCGGCACUUUACAAAUUUCUUUGUAAGGUGGCCCUGGAGAGGCUGAGCUACCUCAGCCUUCGAAAAGACUACCUUACAAUAUGUAUUAUUAAAAUGUUUAAAAUAUGACUUUUCAUUUCAAAUAUGUUUUCUGUGAUCGAUUAAAGCUGAAAAUCAUUUUAAAGGGGUGGUGAAAAUAAUAAGUACUGCAAUUCUACGAAG
rnacentral:lncRNA from 1 species